GUAAAUUAGCAGGUGAUGCGUCUCAAUUGUGUCGCUGAGCCUGCAGGAUGAGAGAGAGCAGGAGAGAGAAAGGGGAAGAGAGGCAGGUCUCCUUGAUGGCUAUUUUACAGGAUGUAAUUUAUUGUAUUGCAUUACAGUUCAACAGCAGCACAGUUCACAUCCUACAUCCUGCUGUAUGAGCAUAUAACACCUCUCUGAAAUAGUUUGAACAAAACUGUACAUUGUCACCUUCAAGAAGGAGGAUGUGCAGUAUCUAUAAAGUGUUCACCACCUUGGAUGCUUUCAGAUGUUGAAACAGCAGCAUGUGAAAGGUAAACGAAAUGCUGUCAUCCGCUGCUUGAUAGAGUUCCUCAGUCUGGAGAGGACCUUCUCAAAGAUUACCAGGAUGUCAAAGAAACUGUCAAGGAGGGCUAUGCCAAACAUGUCAUGAAGAUCUUUGUUAUCCGUGAAAGUGCUGCAACCGAAGGCCCUACUCCUGCUGAUGUGUUGAUCAUCAUCGAGGGAACUGAGGUUCUUGAUAGCUGUAGAUAUGUGGCAAAGGCUUGCCCUCUGCUCAAGGCCUUUGUCUACGCUAUGAACCUAAGCUACCCACCAAAACUGAAAUACACAUUUGAAGUGUUUCAGAAGCUCUUUCUUGAGCUUGAUGUCCUUAAGAUAUCUCCCAAAGUCCAGUCUUUGCAGAAAAAACUUCUAGCAUACUUUCCUGGGUUUAAGUUAUGUGAGUGAUUUACAUCCUGUUCUCUUUCAAAGCCUUUUCACUUUAAGGCAACAAGAAAAUGUUUUUGUACACUGUACUGAAGGUCAAGCUCUCUUGAAGUGUUAAAUGUUUUUACCAAUGUUGAGAUGAAAAGGAAUUGGCCCAAGACGGCAAAUGUCUUUGUAAACUACAUUUACUCACUGUAAGCCGAAAUUGUUCCAAAAGGUACUUUGGCUGCACAGUUUUGUGUAUGGGUGAUCAUGUUAUUCAGUGGCCUGCUUUCUGUUCCAAUACACCCUUAAAGUAUCUCUUUCUCUGGACUUUGUUGAUCUUAAAAUGACCAACUACCAACUUUACUAAUUGCUUAAUUACUUCUGGCCUAUUGGUAGUAGGUUCCUAGUGAACCAUAAUUAUGGGGCUCAUAACAAUUGAUAACUAACCAUCAAAAGGCAUGAUAAGUCACAUCAGCAGGAUUUUAGGUGCUGUGUUGUCUAUUAAUUCACCAGUCUGUGUUUGUUGUGAAUUAAGGUGUUACU